rnacentral:rRNA from 1 species
GUAGGGAAUAUUGGACAAUGGGGGGAACCCUGAUCCAGCCAUGCCGCGUGGAGGAAGACUGCCCUCUGGGUUGUACACUCCUUUUAUAUGGGAAGAACCGUCCUCACUAAUGAGUGACCUGACGGUACCAUAGGAAUAAGCACCGACUAACUCCGUGCCAGCAGCCGCGGUAAUACGGAGGGUGCAAGCGUUAUCCGGAUUCACUGGGUUUAAAGGGUGCGUAGGCGGAUAAAUAAGUCAGUGGUGAAAUCAACGGGCUCAACCUGUUAACGGCCAUUGAUACUGUGUAUCUUGAAUAUGAGAGAGGUAGGCGGAAUGUUGCAUGUAGCGGUGAAAUGCUUAGAUAUGCUACGGAACACCGAUUGCGAAGGCAGCUUACUAUUUCGUAAUUGACGCUGAGGCACGAAAGCGUGGGUAGCGAACAGGAUUAGAAACCCGUGUAGUCC